GAUUUUCCAAAUUUUAUUUCCAUCGGAAAUUCAUAAAGGGCAAAGAAGAGCCACCAAAGUAAAAAGUAGAUCACAAAUCUUUAUUUGUUGCUUGUUUCUUCCUUAGAAUCAUUGCUUUUGUCCUCCU
rnacentral:ribozyme from 14 species